rnacentral:rRNA from 1 species
CGUUCCCGGGCCUUGUACACACCGCCCGUCACACCACGAGAGUUUGUAACACCCGAAGUCGGUGGGGUAACCGUAAGGAGCCAGCCGCCUAAGGUGGGACAGAUGAUUGGGGUG